UAAUGAUGCUACCUCUGCUGCUCAAGUAGCGACUGAGUUUGCAGAACAUGCAAGCCUAGCUGCCAGAGUUGUUGUAGAACUUUCAAGGUAAUAUUGUGUUGAUGAUGGUGGGUCAUGCCACUUAGUUUUCAAGGAGGAAAGGUUGGAACAUGGACAAUUAUUUCCUUGAGAUGGUAAUGGUAAUUGUUCUAUUGCCAUGCAGAAUUGGAACAUGAAAUUUAAGGAUGCUACCUCUGCUGCCCAAGCAGCGACUGAGUUUGCAGAACAUGCAAGCCUAGCUAAAAGAGCUGUUGGAGAAUUUUCAAGGAAAUAUUGUGUUGAUGAUGGUGGUUCAUGCCACUUAAGUUUCAAGAAUGAAAAGUUGGAACAUGGGCAAUCAUUUCCUUGAGAUGGUAAUGGUAAUUCUUUUGUUGGCAGGUAGAACUGGAACAUGAAAUUUAAGGAUGCUACCUUUGCUGCUCAAGUAGCGACUGAGUUUACAAAACAUGCAGGCCUUGUAGAACUUUCAAGGCAAUAUUGUGUUGAUGAUGGUGUUUCAUGCCACUUAUGUUUCAAGAAUGAAAGGUCGGAACAUGGGCAAUCAUUUCCUGGAGAUAUGAAUGGUAAUUUUCUGUUUGCGGGCAGAAUUUGAACACGAAAUUUAAGGAUGCUACCUCUACUGCUCAAGCAGCGACU
rnacentral:lncRNA from 1 species